rnacentral:rRNA from 1 species
AGGAGAAGCGAAUUGGAACGUUCCGCCACAGAGGGUGAGAGCCCCGUAUUCCGAAAACCAGACCGAAGUUCAGGUGGUCCCUGAGUAGCGCGAAACACGAGGAACUUCGCGUGAAACCGCCCGGACCACCGGGCAAGGCUAAACACAGUCUGUCACCGAUAGUGCAUCCAGUACCGUGAGGGAAAGGUGAAAAGAACCCCGGUGAGGGGAGUGAAAUAGAACCUGAAACCGCACCACCCACAAACAGUCAGAGCACCAUGUGCGGAGCAAUCCGUACAAGUGUGAUGGCGUGCCUUUUGCAGAAUGAGCCUGCGAGUUGUUGGCACCGGCAAGGUUAAGGCCUUCAGGGCCGUAGCCGGAGGGAAACCGAGUCCGAACAGGGCGACAAGUCGGUGUCAGCAGACCCGAAACUGCGUGAUCUAGCCAUGGCCAGGCUGAAGUGAUGGUAACACAUCAUGGAGGGCCGCACCCAUUGACGUUGAAAAGUCUCGGGAUGAGCUGUGGUUAGUCCGGUGAAAUGCCAAUCGAACGCAGAGAUAGCUGGUUCUCCCCGAAAUGCAUUUGGGUGCAGCGUUGCGCGUUGUCUCCAGGGGGUAGAGCACUGAAUGGGCUAGGGGGUUUACCGACUUACCGAACCCAAUCAAACUCCGAAUACCUGGCGAUAAGCGCAGCAGUGAGACGGCGAAGGCUAAGCUCCGUCGUCAAAAGGGCAAUAGCCCAGACCGACAGCUAAGGACCCUAAGCGUGUGUUAAGUGUGAAACGAUGUGAGGUCGCGUAAACAGCCAGGAGGUUGGCUUGGAAGCAGCCACCCUUUAAAAAGUGCGUAACAGCUUACUGGCCGAAUGUGAUCUCGCGCGGACAAUGUAAGGGGGCUCAAACACACCUCCGAAGCUUCGGGAUCGCCGCAAGGCGAUCGGUAGGGGAGCGUCGGGCGCGCCGUGAAGCCGGAGCGGAAGCACCGGUGGAGCGCGUUCGAGUGAGAAUGCAGGCACGAGUAGCGAUAACACAGGUGAGAAUCCUGUGCGCCGAAAACCUAAGGUUUCUCCGGCUAUGUUCGUCAGACGGAGGUUAGGCGGUCCCUAAGGCCAGGCCGGAAGGCGUAGCCGAUGGACAUCUGGUAGACAUUCCAGACCCGGGCGUGGCAGCCAUGGGGGACGCUUCUCAAAGUUCCAUCCCGCACCGUUGGUCGUUGCGGGCUAGAGGAAGGCUGGGCCAGUUGAAAGACUGGCGGAAAGGCUGACCUCGGGGAAGGGAGCUCUUCGGAGCGAACGAACUGGGACGAUGGGGGGCCUAGAAAAGCCCUGUAGCAAUGCCACGUUCGACCGUACUGCAAACCGACACAGGUAGGUGAGUCGAGGAGACUAAGGCGUUCGAGAGAACUCUCGUUAAGGAACUAGGCAAACGGGCCCCGUAACUUCGGGAUAAGGGGCGCCCCGCAAGGGGCCGCAGCGAAGCAUCCCAGGCGACUGUUUACCAAAAACACAGGUCUCUGCGAAGGUGAAAACCGACGUAUAGGGGCUGACGCCUGCCCAAUGCCAGUAGGUUAAUCGGAGGUGUUAGCGCAAGCGAAGCACUGAAGUGAAGCCCUGGUGAAUGGCGGCCGUAACUCUAACGGUCCUAAGGUAGCGAAAUUCCUUGUCGGCUAAAUACCGACCCGCAUGAAAGGCGUAACGACUUGGGAACUGUCUCAACGAGAGGCUCGGUGAAAUUGUAGUGCCCGUGAAGAUGCGGGCUCCGCGCAGUAGGACGGAAAGACCCCGUGGAGCUUUACUACACCUUGAUAUUGGGUUCUGGUUUAGCAUGUAGAGAAUAGGUGGGAGAGGCAACUCGACAGUGGAAUACCACCCUUGUUAGGCUGGAAUUCUAACCUGUGCUCGUUAUCCGGGCAAGGGACAGUAUCAGGCGGGUAGUUUGACUGGGGCGGUCGCCUCCUA